AACCUGCCCACUGAAGAUUUAAAUGGCCGCAGUAUAUUAACUGUGCAAAGGUAGCAUAAUCAUUAGUCUUUUAAUUGGAGGCUGGUAUGAAUGGUUGGACGAAAUAUUAACUGUUUCAUAUAAAUUUAUAUUAAAAUUUUAUUUUUUAGUAAAAAAGCUAAAAUUUAAUUAAAAGACGAGAAGACCCUAUAAAUCUUUAUAUUUAUAUUAAUAUAGUUUUUAGGAUUAUUUUUAUUAUAAUAAUUAAUAAUAUUUUAUUGGGGUGAUAUUAAAAUUUAAAUAACUUUUAAUUGUAAAAUUCAUUAAUUUAUGAGUUAUUGAUCCGUGAUUAACGAUUAGGAAUUUAAGUUACUUUAGGGAUAACAGCGUAAUUUUUUUGGAGAGUUCAUAUUAAUAAAAAAGAUUGCGACCUCGAUGUUGGAUUAAGAGAUAAUUUUAGGUGUAGUCGCUUAAAUUUUAAGUCUGUUCGACUUUUAAAUUCUUACAUGAUCUGAGUUUAAACCGGUGUAAGCCAGGUUGGUUUCUAUCUUUAGUAA
rnacentral:rRNA from 1 species